UAUAGAGCCUUUAAAGAAGACAUUUAAUAUUCAAAUGGCACGGAAGUACAUGGUUUCCUGCAACUCAGCAAGUUUGGACAACAAAUUUGGUUUUAAGUUUUCUGGCUGCUAAAACAUGUGAAAUAGUUUUUGUUUUUCACAGUGGGAAACCCAGACUUAUCUGCAGAAGCCAGUUUUCUCUUAAACUAAAGAAAGAGAGGUUCUUUAUAGACGACAGCAUUUCCUCAGAAUUUAAAAAAGAUGGAAAAUGCAGAGAGCAGCCAUGACGAUCCAAGAAAGAUUAUCUGGUCCAGCUGUUAAUGAGAAGACUGAAGCCCAGAGAGAAGUGAGUACCCACAUCUCAGAACCAGCCCAGUGCGCUCACCUUGCUGUUUGCCGUCUCCUUGCUGGCUAUACGUUUAAAGUCAAGUGGUUCUAAACAGCAAUCCAGAUGUUCCAUAAAAACUGUCAAAGCAGUGAGCAUAUCAUGCUGAAUCUGGCAGCACAGAGUUAGGAGAGCCGGUCUUCCUCCUGUGCCUCCGAGAUCCAGAACACAUGGUUAUCCUUGUCUGGGAUAACCUGGGAUUCUUGUCUGACCUCCCCUUCUAGAGUCAAUAAUCAUUUCCUGAGUCCUGCUGAGUUUCAAGAUCUGUGCUGAGCACUUCCAUCCUCUCCAGAGAGAAGAUCCGCGGGUACAGGCUCAGUCACCCAGGAUCCAAAGAAAGAAAAUGCCUUUAAGGACAGUAUGAUCACCAGAUCACCAGCCCCCAGCUGCUGCUGAAGCCCAGAAGUCUGGUUGCCCAAGAGGUUAUCUGAAGUAAAAGAAACAGAUUUCCCCUCUGUUUUCUCUGAAACUCCUCCUCCCAAGCCAGUUAGCUCUUUAAAGACCCCCUGCUUUCUUCUUUCACGAAGGCGCAUUUGAGAAGGCCUAUCCUGGGGCCUUCUCUUCUCAUUUUGACCAAUUUGAAUAACCCUUUCUCCAUCUCCAAGCACUGCUGUCUCAGUGACCGGCUUACUGUGCAUCAGGCACAGGAACUUGAGAUUAAGAGGUCAGGUAUCAAGUUCGCUUUGAAUGUGGAACAGACACAUGCAGAUUUGUUAUUCAGGAGGUCCCAGGCCAGCUAAAGAGAUGAGAGUGCCCUGCCCCACAAACAAGAGAAGCUUACUGGAGGCCAAUAACCAUGCGCUCUGCUGGUUGGCGCUUCAGGAUAUUAGAAAAGGUCAGCUGAGUUGUCGAAGCUUCAUUCUAGCACCCAGCAAAUAAUAAAGGACCAGUAAAUAUUUGUUGAUUGAUUGAUGAUUAUUCCCAGGGCUGGGCCACACAAACAGAACCUAUCUUAACUGAGGCAGGCUUAACGCAACACGGCCCACCCUCAGACAGCACUGGACCACAGAAAGGGGUGAGAGGCCCAGACUGCGCGGACAGAACCGGAG
rnacentral:lncRNA from 1 species